GUGCUCAUUUUGGCAGCACACAUACUAAAAUUGGAGUGGUACAGAGAGGAUUAGUAUGGCUCCUGAGCAAAGAUGACACUCAAAUUCAUGAAGAGUUAAAAAAAUUA